GUAAGUUCAUGAUUUCUCCCAUAUAUUUUUCAUGAGAGAGAUCAUUGGACUUACAG
rnacentral:pre_miRNA from 1 species